CCAGGCCCAGAUAGUUAAAAAAAAAAAAAUUUUUGUGUGAAUUGUAGUCCAAUAGCCCAUAUGUAACCACAUUAGCCCACCAACAAUUUAAUUCAGUGGGCUAGUCCACCUAAAAAUUUUUUUGUGUUUUAAUCUUUAGUCCACUAAUUUAACCCAAACCCACUUAAAUGUAUCAAUUGAUAAAAUCAAUUUAACUCAUUUCUUUCCAUUUCCUUACCAGUUACCACGUGAACUUUCUAUUUAAUCACUUUUCAUUAUAAUGGUUGCACAAAAUAUCCAAAUCCAAUAUCAUCCCUCUGGUCUAACCCAUUCCCAAAUCCAAAUUUGAAACCAUCUGCGACUUGGAUUCUCAUUUCUCUCUCUAGUCCCUGAGUCUCUCGCCUCGAGCUCUCGACGCCUUCUAUCGGUGAUUCAGCAGAAGAAGAAGGUGAAGAAGCCAGAAGGUCUCUCGUUUCUCGGCCUCUUUCUCAAGGUCUCUCGCCUUCACUGCCUUGUGCCUUCAGUUACUUUUAAGGGCAAGUGAUGCUUUUGAUUUUUUGAAGUAUUGUGCUAUUUGCUAAGAAAAGGGUACAAAGGCUAAAAGGGUUAAGGAGGUUCAACUUUUCAAGAUUUAAUAUGGAAGAAGAUCGACCUUCUAACAAGAAAGGAAGAACUUUGUUGUCUUUUUUUUCAAAAAGUAAUAAAUCUCAAGAUUCUCCAAUUCCUACGGCGCCCAUUCCUCCAAUUUCAUCCCCAGAAGUUGUACGGCCUUCAUCUUCCAAUCUUAAUGUAGAACCAUCUGAUUCUAUUGAACGGGACCCUGGAAAAAGAAAACAAAUAUGUGAACAUCCACGUAACGAACGCGAUCAGAUUAGGCGAGCUUAUCUAAAUGUUGGACCUUAUCAACCAAAACUUUUGGAGUAUCAGAGCAAAGAAUGUGGAAAGCAGAAACGUCGAUUUCAGGAACGUUGGUACAAUCAGUUUCCUUGGUUGGAAUAUUCGCCUUCAACACAUAAGGCAUAUUGUUUUUAUUGUUUCCUCUUUCUCAAUGAGAGUACUCCACCUAAUAUUUCAUCG